UCCUACGGGGGGCAGCAGUAGGGAAUCUUCCACAAUGGGCGAAAGCCUGAUGGAGCAACGCCGCGUGGGUGAAGAAGGUCUUCGGAUCGUAAAACCCUGUUGUUAGAGAAGAAAGUGCGUGAGAGUAACUGUUCACGUUUCGACGGUAUCUAACCAGAAAGCCACGGCUAACUACGUGCCAGCAGCCGCGGUAAUACGUAGGUGGCAAGCGUUAUCCGGAUUUAUUGGGCGUAAAGUGAACGCAGGCGGUCUUUUAAGUAUGAUGGGAAAGCCUUCGGAUUAACCGGAGUAGUGCAUUGGAAACU
rnacentral:rRNA from 1 species